GAGCUGCGAAGGCGCGCGGCGCGUUACAGUAAAAACUCUGUGCCCUAAUAUUGUGGGCCCUACAUCCAUUCAGCUCCAGAAAUAACCACAACCCCCUGAGAAUAUUUCACAGAUCAAUAUGGCACAGAGGAAGAUCACUGGGACAGGAGGAAUGGAGCAGAGAACAUGGGAGGAGAUGCAGAAACGAGUGAACCGGGGGCCACAUGCUCAGUCCUACUGCUGGUUGGCUUGCCUUACAAGAGGUAGCUUCUUAGGACUGAGAUUCACUAAUGGCCACUCUGCCGCCAUCUGACAGCGAUUCUUCCUCCCAGCUGCCCCGUGGAGCUUCACAGCUGCUAAUGGACUGUACUGCUUUCAUUAUUAAUGGACUAAGGCUCCCAGGCAGAGGAGUCGAUGGCCAACUUGCAUAUGCUGCGAUAUGCUGGCCUGCUACCGGCCUGAUACCGGCCUGCUACCGGCCUGCUCGCUCCCCUAUUCCGGCUAACAUCUGGGACAUCAAGAUGAAUUGGACUGCAGUUUAGUCCUUGUUUACAGGAGGGCAACAAAGCCAUUUGAAGGAUUACUGGGAUAUCAGCAAUUCGUCCAAUCCCUGGCAUCACGGGGAUAAAAUGUGAAGGCUGCCAAGGUUUGAAUCGGCUGUUGAAACCGGUGCCUGAGGAGCAAAGGAUGCUGGGUACAGCUAACGUGGCAUGACAAGCCUUGUGCUCCAGGAAGACGGACUGGUGUAUCCGAGUCGUCAGCGGACAAAGACGACUCCGAUUGAAGCUGUGAACCGCAACAAAGUGAGGUAAUUUGCAGAGUAACGAUGAUGAGGAAACCCCACAAAGACAGGGAAAGGCGGCUCAGACGGCUGCUUUCCCCCCCAUUGCAAUCCAAGCGGUUCUGACACGUCGUAAAACCCCAGCAAUACUAGAGAAACAGCAAAGGAAAAAAACAAAAAUAAACAAAAAAAAAAACCA